rnacentral:rRNA from 1 species
CCUACGGGUGGCAGCAGUGAGGAAUAUUGGUCAAUGGGCGGGAGCCUGAACCAGCCAAGUCGCGUGAGGGACGACGGUCCUAUGGAUUGUAAACCUCUUUUGUCGGGGAAUAAAGUCGUCCACGGGUGGGCGGAUGAGUGUACCCGAAGAAAAAGCAUCGGCUAACUCCGUGCCAGCAGCCGCGGUAAUACGGAGGAUGCGAGCGUUAUCCGGAUUUAUUGGGUUUAAAGGGUGCGUAGGGGGACCGUUCAGUCAGCGGUAAAAAUGCGGGGCUCAAACGCGUAACAGCGGUUGAACCUGGCAGUCUUGAGUGGGGGAGAGGUGGGCGGAAUGCGUGGUGUAGAGGUGAAAUGCUUAGAUAUCACGCAGAACUCCGAUUGCGAAGGCAGCAUACCGGAGCGCAACUGACGCUGAGGCACGAAAGUGUGGGUAUCGAACAGGAUUAGAUACCCUAGUAGUC